GGUGGAUGAUGUGGUUUAAUUCGAUGCAACGCGAAAACCUUACCCACCUUUGACAUGGCAGGAAUCCUGAAGAGAUUUGGGAGUGCUCGAAAGAGAACCUGCACACAGGUGCUGCAUGGCUGUCGUCAGCUCGUGUCGUGAGAUGUUGGGUUAAGUCCCGCCAACGAGCGCAACCCUUGCCAUUAGUUGCUACGAAAGGGCACUCUAAUGGGACUGCCGGUGACAAACCGGAGGAAGGUGGGGAUGACGUCAAGUCCUCAUGGCCCUUAUAGGUGGGGCUACACACGUCAUACAAUGGCCGGUACAGAGGGUAGCCAACCCGCGAGGGGGAGCCAAUCCCACAAAGCCGGUCGUAGUCCGGAUCGCAGUCUGCAACUCGACUGCGUGAAGUCGGAAUCGCUAGUAAUCGCGGAUCAGCAUGUCGCGGUGAAUACGUUCCCGGGUCUU
rnacentral:rRNA from 1 species